AGCGGCAGUCGGGGCGCGGCGCGCAGUCGCAGCGGAGGCUCGCUCUGCAUAAGGGUCGUGCGCGGGGCUCAGCCUGCAGCCGGGAAGAUGUCGCGCUACGGGCGUUACGAGACCAAGGUGUACGUGGGGAACCUGGGCACGGGCGCGGGCAAGGGCGAGCUGGAGAGAGCCUUCAGCUACUACGGGCCCCUGAGAACCGUGUGGAUCGCGAGGAACCCGCCGGGGUUUGCCUUCGUGGAGUUUGAAGACCCGAGGGAUGCUGAAGAUGCUGUGCUUGGCCUUGAUGGAAAGAUAAUAUGUGGCUCCAGAGUUAGAGUGGAAGUGUCAACUGGGAUGCCUCGUCGCUCCCGUUACGACAGGCCUCCGGCCCGGCGCCCCUUUGACCCAAACGACAGAUGCUAUGAGUGUGGUGAGAAAGGCCACUAUGCUUAUGAUUGUCACCGCUAUAGUCGCCGAAGAAGGAGCAGGUUUCUUCGUUUGAGUCAGUCGCCUUGAUUCAGAAUGUCACGAGCCUUAAGAUUUCAUGCUGAGGCGCCUUGCAAAUCCGACACUUAAGAUCCUCCUAGACCUUGAGGUGAUCAGCAUAAGAGGCCAGAUCCCCUCGAGCCAUCUACACGUAGCUUCACCUUAUUCUUUAAGGGCAGAAAAUUUGAGACGGUGAUCGCCGUAACAGUAAAUUUGGCUUUCAAUUGGGGCCCCCCUCCGGUUUAGAAAGAGGAACACCAGAUUGACCACAUUCCCACCUAGAAAAAUCUUCUUGCGUCAAUCAAGCCUCACCCUGGCUCAUUGGGCUGUCAGUUUGAUCGUCGUUAGAUUGAAGAGAACACCUAGAUGCAGCGAUCGGCUAUAGAUACUUCUAGAUCGUCUAGAUCUGCUAGACCUUGGGCCAAAGAGGGUCGACCUGCAAACUUGCAAGGUUUAUUUUAAAUACGCAUUACAGUGUUUUCUAUUCUAAUGUAAUUCUGCAAUGUCAUUCAGCUUUUAACAUUUUUCUAGGUAGUAAAAUGCUCAAGACGAGUAGGCCCAGAGAUUUUUCCAGCUGACAGAUGCUAGUGGUGUGGUUUUCUUUUGGUGUUUUUUUAUCUUUUUUUUUUUCUUUUCCUUUUUUUUGUUUUCUUUUUAGUUGUCUGAAAUAAGUUUUGACUUCAGCAGGGCCUCACGUGCACUGGUUGCUGCAGCUGUGUCCUGAUACCUUUUUUCUCUAACCUAAACCCAGGUCCCGGUCAAGAUCCCGUUCACGGUCCCGAGGUCGAAGGUAUUCUCGCUCACGCAGUCGGAGUCGUGGUAGGAGGUCGAGGUCAGCUUCCUACCGCAGGUCCAGGUCAAUCUCUCCUCGUAGGUAUAGGUCAUUUUCACCCCGCAGAUCUCGGUCUGGUUCUUUAAGGAGGUCAAGGUCUAGGUCCAGGUCACGCUCAAGGUCCCGGUCUGUUGUAUGGCCUCGAAGCAGGUCUGGGUCCCAUGGUAGAUCUAAAUCUGGCUUACCUGCUAAAAGUCGUUCAAAGUCCAGAUCACCAUCUCCAAAGAGAAGUCACUCACCAUCAGGAAGCCCUUGAAGGAGUGGAAGUCAUGAAAGAAUGGGUUUGAAUUUAAAAAAGUUUAAGAAGAAAAUUUAUUUUGUUUACAUUAUUAUAAGGGAUUUUGUGGUGUCUUUAUAAACGUAAGGGCUUAGUCCUAGAAGGCUGUUUCUAUUGACUAACAAUUGGCAUGAACCUGGAUCUUUUAAAAGUCUUAGUAGUAGACUAAUGCAAAACUCCUUUGUUGUGUUAAUGUUCUGUGAUCUGGAAACGUUGGGCUUUUUUUAUUGGUGCGUUGAAAUAAACUGCAUUUCUAACGAAGAAGUAUUUUGUGAUAACCCUGCUCUUUCUGUUAAUGUUUGGGUAGCUGAAGCAGGUUACAGGUCGCUGGUGAAAAGCAGGAGGCACUUGUGAACUGAGGGUAGUGCAGCAGCCAGUCAGGAGCUCUGCAGGUGUGUGCCUGUCGGAGCAUGGAUUAGUGCCGAGUUACCAGUACCAGCUUGUCGGUGUUAACGUUUGGUCUUGAAUGCUAUGGUGAUCUGUACCGUGUAGUUUUAUUUGCACCUCCUCAAAGCUCAGUGAAGCUGAAAACGUGUCUGGAGGUGCUUGUAACUUGAUGAAUUGACUUGCAAAAAUGCUUACAAAGGGCGUUAACAGAUUGGAAAAAAACAAGGACUGUGUGAACGCUCCGUUGUCCCGAUGAUUAAAGGACCAGUGAACUUCUCACUCGAAGGUAUUUGGAAUAUUUCUGGAAUGUAAACUGUUGAAGUAAAUACUUUCAGAAAUCUUGUUCUGUGUCCAGUUGUGAUACUUAGGAUAAACUGGCAGUUCUGGUGCAGAAGAUAAUACUGUUUUGGGGAAAUUAAAGCUUUUUGUAUAGAUUGAAGGUCACAAGCAGAACUUGCAGGUCAUGUUUAAGUUGCAGUCAGUAUAUCUGAGGCAUUGAGAGCUAAUGUUACACUGACCUGAUGUGACUGGUCACAUCAUCAUCUUUGGUAGUGCAACCAAGGGGCUUACUGAUGUCCUUACCAGUUGUUGCUUUGGGAAACUGGACCGUGGCUGCCAUCUCACCAUUUGGGGAUUUAAUACAAGUAUGAUAAACUAGUGCAAGGUAUUUGCAAGUUGGAGUGGUCUUUGCAGCUGAUAAUGGCUGUUAACAGACUAGUAAAGAAGACAAAGUGCCAGGUGAUUUUCACUUCUCCCUCCCCCAUCACAGUUUAUUGCAUCAAUGGUACAACUGCUGUGUGCAACAGUGCUUUUAAAGAAGGGGGGGUGGUGGCUUUUUUCCUCUCUGUACUGCCAAAGCAAGCUGACUCCAUAAUAAACCUGUAGACUGAAA